CCCGGGUUUUCCGUAGGUGUCUUUCUCAGGCUCGCCUACGGCCCGGGUCGACUUAAAAAACCCGCUCAGUCGAUUGCUUCGGCGAUCGGCCACGCAGGUCUUCUGUUCUGGAAGCUGUUCGGAAUUAACGCCGAAGAGUAACCAGCAGCUCUUGGAUCGUUGUUGAGGCGCCCAAGAGUUCACAGAUCACAUGCCUGCGACCACGUUAAUGUCGUGGCUCUGAUAUGA
rnacentral:rRNA from 1 species